ACCAUCCUAAGGUAGCGAAAUUCCUUGUCGGGUAAGUUCCGACCUGCACGAAUGGAGUAACGACUUCCCUACUGUCUCAACCAUGAACUCGGCGAAAUUGCAGUACGAGUAAAGAUGCUCGUUUCGCGCAGCAGGACGGAAAGACCCCGUGACCUUUACUAUAGUUUGGUAUUGGUGUUUGGUUUGGCUUGUGUAGGAUAGGUGGGAGACUGUGAAGCAUGGACGCUAGUUUGUGUGGAGUCGUUGUUGAAAUACCACUCUGGUCAAUCUGGAUGUCUAACUUCGGGCCAUGAUCUGGUUCAGGGACAGUGCCUGAUGGGUAGUUUAACUGGGGCGGUUGCCUCCUAAAGUGUAACGGAGGCGCCCAAAGGUUCCCUCAGCCUGGUUGGCAAUCAGGUGUUGAGUGUAAGUGCACAAGGGAGCUUGACUGUGAGACUGGCAGGUCGAGCAGGGACGAAAGUCGGGACUAGUGAUCCGGCGGUACGUUGUGGAACGGCCGUCGCUCAACGGAUAAAAGGUACCUCGGGGAUAACAGGCUGAUCUUGCCCAAGAGUCCAUAUCGACGGCAUGGUUUGGCACCUCGAUGUCGGCUCGUCGCAUCCUGGGGCUGGAGUCGGUCCCAAGGGUUGGGCUGUUCGCCCAUUAAAGCGGUACGCGAGCUGGGUUCAGAACGUCGUGAGACAGUUCGGUCCCUAUCCGCUGCGCGCGUUGGAAAUUUGAGAAAGGCUGUCCUUAGUACGAGAGGACCGGGACGGACGAACCUCUGGUAUGUCAGUUGUACCGCCAGGUGCAUGGCUGAUUGGCUACGUUCGGGAGGGAUAACCGCUGAAAGCAUCUAAGCGGGAAGCCUGUUUCGAGAUGAGAUUUCCUGGCACUUUUUGGUGUGUGAGGCUCCUUAUAGAUGAUGAGGUUGAUAGGCCGGGUAUGGAAGCGGGGACUGAAGACUCGUGGAGUUGACUGGUACUAAUAGGCUGAAGGCUUACUUUU
rnacentral:rRNA from 1 species